GUGGGGAAUAUUGGGCAAUGGGCGAAAGCCUGACCCAGCAACGCCGCGUGAGGGAAGAAGGCCUUCGGGUUGUAAACCUCUGUCCUUGGUGACGAAAAAAAUGACGGUAGCCAAGGAGGAAGCCCCGGCUAACUACGUGCCAGCAGCCGCGGUAAUACGUAGGGGGCGAGCGUUGUCCGGAAUUACUGGGCGUAAAGGGUGCGUAGGUGGCCUUUUAAGUUGGAUGUGAAAUACCCGGGCUUAACUUGGGGGGUGCAUCUAAUACUGGAGGGCUAGAGUGCAGGAGAGGGAAGCGGAAUUCCUAGUGUAGCGGUGAAAUGCGUAGAUAUUAGGAGGAACACCAGUGGCGAAGGCGGCUUACUGGACUGUAACUGACGCUGAGGCGCGAAAGUGUGGGGAGCAAACAGGAUUAGAAACCCCUGUAGUCC
rnacentral:rRNA from 1 species